UAAACCCUUUCUAACCUAUAUCACCCCGAGUUCCAGAACUACACAAUUCGUUCUGCCCCUCUCUCGCGUAUCAACGCUAAGAGAAUUCUCCGAUUUCCAACUUCUCCAAUCUCAAUCAAAAUUCGGAGCUCAUCUCUAUCAAAACCCACCAAAGAUUCAAACUUUCUCCACCAAAGGGUCCACGAAUCAAAACCCAUAAGUGUUGAUUCGUGAAUGGCGAGCCUGUAUGUGAAAGCUGUGCUUCCUGCGGAUUUGAAUAGGAACACAGAGUGGUUCGUGUACCUGGCGUUUGGACCACCUAUUUUCUCAUCCUCUUCUUCUCUUGGCUCCUUGUGCUCUCGAUUUUUGGCUGCUCUCCUGGCGUGGCUUGGACCAUAGUCAAUCUCUCUCAUUUCGUGGUUUAUGUUACAUGAUUCUACAUGGGUUUUGUAUCUGGAAGCUGAAUCGGGUGCAUUACAGUGUUUUAGUAGGUAAUUGUGUGGAAAGAGAAUAACCCAUGUUGUAUUUUUCUUGACUGAAGAUAAUGAUAGUCAUUCGUCACAGGAUGAUUAACUGCUGCUGUGCUUGAUCAAGAAGUGUUUUCUUUUCAGUAGUAAUUUUGGAGAGACAGAGGAGACAGGCUGUGCUUGAUUAGCUGCUGCAAAUGUUUGCUUUUUGGUUCUCAGCAUCAAUGUUGAAGCUAUUAUGUAUAUCUUUUGGUUUUUGGUUUCUCAGCAUCAAUGUUACAGCUAGUGUAUAUCACUGUUGAAGCUAUUGUGUA